UAAUACGGAGGGUGCGAGCGUUGUUCGGAAUCACUGGGCGUAAAGCGCGUGUAGGCGGUCUGCUAAGUCUGAUGUGAAAGCCCGGGGCUCACCCCCGGAAGUGCAUUGGAAACUGACAGACUGGAGUCCCGGAGAGGAGGGUGGAAUUCCUGGUGUAGCGGUGAAAUGCGUAGAUAUCAGGAGGAACACCGGUGGCGAAGGCGGCCCUCUGGACGGUGACUGACGCUGAGACGCGAAAGCGUGGGGAGCAAACAGGAUUAGAUACCCUGGUAGUCCACGCUGUAAACGAUGAGCACUAGGUGUCGCGGGUAUUGACCCCUGCGGUGCCGUAGCUAACGCAUUAAGUGCUCCGCCUGGGGACUACGGCCGCAAGGUUA
rnacentral:rRNA from 1 species